rnacentral:misc_RNA from 1 species
UCAGUCUGCUCCCAGCCUUCGGUCGUGACUGGUGUAGGCUGACGUGCCUCGAUCUCCUUAAGUGACCGUGUGAUUAGACUUGGAAUUUGGUGGAGUAUUUGGUGAACAGGUUUAUGAGGUGAAAAAAAACGUGGAAUAUUUCCCACCAGGUCCAGUACAAGGCUGACUGGAAAAGCACGUAAACUGUUGUGUGGAUAUACACGAAAAUAGAAAAAAAAUUACAUAUGCAGAAAAAAAACUGUAAAUAAUAAAACAGGAUAACGAAAAACGAUAAAUCUAAAUAAAUUAAGAAUUGACAUAUAUAAUUAAUUAAUGAGAAAGCAGAAACCUAGAUUAAAAAAGAUGAAAGGAAAGAAACCCAACAACUAGUGAACACAUGUCAAAUGAAACAAUGGAAGAUGAACACAAGGAGAAACAGCAAAACAAGAAUAAAAUGGAAGUAAAAAUUAUACCUAAAUAGACAUUCAUGAAAUAUAAGAAGAGGUACAGUAAAAUAUAUUGAGGGGAAAUAUUGCUUAUUAAUACAUGUAUAGUGUCAUGAAGUGUGUUGAUUAGUGAACAGUAGUGUGAUGAACAGUGCCAUGAGGAUCAACGCUGCAUAGAGUGUAGAUAAGUAGAUAAAGGAGAACGUAAGUCAUGUCUCUUCUGACUUCUCUCAACUCCAGUGCAUUCUUUCUCCUCAUCCAACUCACACUUAAUGUGGUGGUGGUGGUGGAGGGGGACGAGCAGGAGUACCGCCUCACUCGGUACCUAAUGGCGAACUACGACUCCUCAGUCCGGCCGGCAGCCAACUCCUCCGAGGCCCUCUCCAUCGUCUUCGGAGUCUCCUUACACAGUAUUAUCGACGUGGACGAGAAGAACCAGAUACUGACUACUAACUGCUGGUUGACGCAUGUGUGGGCCGACGCCCAUCUCACUUGGAAUGCUUCUGAUUUCGGUGGGAUUCAAGUCAUCAGAGUGCCUUAUCAGCGGGUGUGGAAGCCAGAUAUUAUCCUCUAUAACAAUGCGGACGCCCAGUAUUCAGCGGCCACCAUCAACACGAACGUCAUAGUCACAGCGGCCGGUCAGGUAACGUGGCUAUCUCACGGCAUUUAUCGUUCAUCAUGCGACAUGAACGUCGAAUACUUCCCGUUCGACAUCCAGUCGUGCAAGAUGAUGUGGGCCUCGUGGACCUACGACGGGUAUCAGCUGGACUUGGUCAAGCAGAUGGAAUCUGGGGACAUGUCUAACUAUCAGUCCAACGGAGAGUUUGACCUGCUGGAGUUCACCGCCUCAAAGAAUAUUACCUACUAUUCUUGCUGCCCUGAACCUUACCCAGACAUUACCUUUACCAUCAAGCUCCGCCGGCGUCCCAUGUUCUAUGUCUUCAAUCUCAUCCUACCCUGCGUCCUUAUCAACGGGAUAGCUCUAUUGGUGUUCUAUGUGCCUAGUGAAUCAGGAGAGAAGGUGACUCUAGGCAUCUCUGCUCUACUCUCUAUGACAGUCUUCCUAAUGACCAUUCGCGAGUCUCUACCUCCUACGGAGAAGACGCCUCUUAUCAGUAUGUACUACGGGGUGACCAUAUGCCUGGUGAGUCUGGCAUCAGGUCUGGCAGUAGUGACACUCAACAUUCAUCACCGAGGAGUGAGAGGCACCGAAGUGCCUCGACUCGUCAAGAGGCUCGUCCUUGGAGGUCUCUCCCGGUUCCUGUUCCUCCACUUUCACCCGGCGGGGAUUGAGGACAAGAAGAUACACCUUAAUGACCUGAGACCAGAAAUGGGAGUGAGACUGGACUCCAUUAGUGCCCAAAAGUUCCACAGGUCUGACCUGGACAGCGUCGACCUGUACAACACCUCGCCAAGGUUCGUGCCCCGUCGACACAACGCCUCCAACUACGAUUCCAUGCCCUUGCCUACGACAACAGCCAUGCACCCAUCAGAUUUUGAACACCAGUUCAUUCGGGUGUUGAACAAAGUGUACCAGACGAUUGAGAAGAACGAGAUGAGACUCGCUGAACAAGACAGAAAGGAGACAACUCGCGUCGAAUGGCAACAGGUGGCUCUGGUAUUCGAUCGGCUGCUGCUCUUCUGCUUCCUGCUGUCGACAGUAGUGGCCACCACCACCAUACUCUUCUCCUCUCCUCACGGGCCCUGAUGACCCAACCUGCUCCACCACCGAGACUCUCCUCAACGUUGAAAAUACAAAGAACUUGUGCUUCUGUAUUCUCAAUUGUUCAAGAAGCGGGGACUUGAGAACGAGUUAAGGAACACUCUCCAAUCACCUAAUCCAUCGGGGAUCGAACGCCGGACUUGAAAGAACCCAACCCGUCGCUUUUCCAACCAGUUCCAGUGGCUAUCCAAGCAAUUGUUGGAUAGGUACAUGGGUACCUAUCCAUGAGGGUGGAUAGGCAUAUAAGUAGGAGGAGAGGUUGGAUAAAUGCAUGGGGUAGUAGAUGUGGGAUUAUAAAUAGAACCUGCCUUGCUUAAGCAAUAGGCCUUCUGCUAAUAAUUCAUUCUACAUACCCGAAUUUACCUCAGAGCCGCCAUCUCCCGUGGUCUCGACUGGGGCAGGAAGCCGGCGGCUUAUCAAAAUCCUUCCCCCCCCCCCUCACAAUUUCUGAGGAUUUAAUGCUUUUGUGUUCAACUGUUUUGGAUCGGUAUGUUCUUAUUUUCAAAUGUUCUUAUGUUCAUGUGUUAUUUUCACAUGUUUUUAUGUUCACAUGUUCUAAUGUUCCCAUGUUCUAAUGUUCACAUGUUCUAAUGUUCACAUAAUCUAAUGUUCACAUAAUCUAAUGUUCACAUGUUCUAAUGUUCACAUGUUCUAAUGUUCCCAUGUUCUAAUGUUCACAUAAUCUAAUGUUCCCAUGUUCU